CCUUGCUGUUGCUACCAGCUGCAGGGCAGUCUUAGCCUGAUGGCACCUGCCUCAGCCGCACAGGUGCCUCUUGCUCAAUCCUAGUGCUGCCUUGUGGCACACCCACGUGGACCCUUUCAGCCAUUUGGAUGCAUGUGCGAACCUGGACCCAUUGGACUUGGGAAUGGGAGGUGGUGGGUGCAGGCCAUUCACAUGGUGAAACCAUCUGCUUUUCUGAAGCCAUGUACUUCUGGGUGCAGGACUCUCAGAAAGGCUCAAGGACUUCAGUUUGUACAGACAAUACAGAGAUGUACUCAGGGGGAACACACUCACUUUCGUUUCCAAGUUAUUUAUGACAACUUAAAAUCCAUGACUUGAAAGGACUUGAAAGUACGUAUUCCACUUUGAGAGAACAUGAACAUUUGACUUUUCUUUCUGGAAGAAAUAAAAGAUGAAGAAAACCUUAUUUCA
rnacentral:lncRNA from 1 species